rnacentral:rRNA from 1 species
AGCAGGCGCGAAAACUUUACAAUGCGAGAAAUCGUGAUAAGGGAACCCCGAGUGCCCGUAAAUUCGGGCUGUCCGCCAGUGCAAAAAACUGGCGAAGAAAGAGCCGGGCAAGACCGGUGCCAGCCGCCGCGGUAACACCGGCGGCUCGAGUGGUGGUCACUAUUACUGGGCUUAAAGCGUCCGUAGCUUGGUUGUUAAGUCUCUUGGGAAAUCCACCGGCUCAACCGAUGGGCGUCAGGAGAUACUGGCAACCUAGGACCGAGAGUA